UGAGUGCGAGCUGCUACGGCAGCGAAGUGGGUGACGUCAAGCUUCCAAGAAAAGCCCUAGACCCGUUAAGGCAUGAUUGCCUGUACCCGAAACCGACACAGGUGGGGUGGUAGAGAAUACCGAGGGGCGCGAGGUAACUCUCUCUAAGGAACUCGGCAAAAUGGCCCCGUAACUUCGGGAGAAGGGGUGCCAGCGAGAGCUGGUCGCAGUGAAGAGGCCCAGGCGACUGUUUACCAAAAACACAGGUCUCCGCUAAGUCGCAAGACGAUGUAUGGGGGCUGACGCCUGCCCAGUGCCGGAAGGUUAAGGAAGCUGGUCAGCGCAAGCGAAGCUGGCGACUGAAGCCCCGGUGAACGGCGGCCGUAACUAUAACGGUCCUAAGGUAGCGAAAUUCCUUGUCGGGUAAGUUCCGACCCGCACGAAAGGCGUAACGAUCUGGGCGCUGUCUCGGAGAGAGGCUCGGCGAAAUAGAAUUGUCUGUGAAGAUGCGGACUACGUGCACCCGGACAGAAAGACCCUAUGAAGCUUUACUGUAGCUUGGUAUUGUGCUCGGGCUCGGAAUGCGCAGAAUAGGUGGGAGGCAUUGAUCCAUUGCUUGCGGGUGAUGGUGAGCCACUGGUGAGAUACCACUCUUUUCGAGCUUAAGUUCUAACGGCCACCCGUUAUCCGGGGGCCGGACAGUAUCAGGUGGGCAGUUUGACUGGGGCGGUCGCCUCCUAAAAGGUAACGGAGGCGCGCAAAGGUCUGCUCAGGCUGGUUGGAAAUCAGCCGACGAGUGUAAAAGCAGAAGCAGGCUUGACUGUGAGACCUACAAGUCGAACAGGGAGGAAACUCGGCUUUAGUGAUCCGACGGUUCUGCGUGGAAGGGCCGUCGCUCAACGGAUAAAAGUUACUCUAGGAUAACAGGCUGAUCUCCCCCAAGAGUUCACAUCGACGGGGAGGUUUGGCACCUCGAUGUCGGCUCAUCGCAACCUGGGGCUGAAGUCGGUCCCAAGGGUUGGGCUGUUCGCCCAUUAAAGCGGUACGCGAGCUGGGUUCAGAACGUCGUGAGACAGUUCGGUCCAUAUCCGGUGCACGCGCAGGAAUAUUGAGAGGAUUUCUCCCUAGUACGAGAGGACCGGGAGGAACGCACCUCUGGUGUGCCAGUUAUCGUGCCAACGGUAAACGCUGGGUAGCCAUGUGCGGAGAGGAUAACCGCUGAAAGCAUCUAAGUGGGAAGCCCACCUCAAGAUGAGUAUUCCCAUGGCGUUAAGCCAGUAAGGUCACGGGAAGAACACCCGUUGAUAGGCUCUAUGUGGAAGCGCAGUAAUGCGUGAAGCAGAGGAGUACUAAUAGACCGAGGGCUUGAC
rnacentral:rRNA from 1 species